UACGUAGGCAGCAAGCGUUGUUCGGAAUUACUAGGCGUAAAGGGCAGGUAGGUGGUUUGGUAAGUCUAUUGUGAAAGCUCCCGGCUUAACCGGGAGAGGCCAAUGGAUACUGCCAAGCUUGAGUAUAGGAGAGGUUACUGGAAUUCCCGGUGUAGCGGUGAAAUGCGCAGAUAUCGGGAGGAACACCAAUGGCGAAAGCAGGUAACUGGACUAUUACUGACACUCAACUGCGAAAGCUAGGGGAGCAAACAGG
rnacentral:rRNA from 1 species